rnacentral:rRNA from 1 species
GAUGAACGCUGGCGGCGUGCCUAAUACAUGCAAGUCGAGCGAACGGACGAGAAGCUUGCUUCUCUGAUGUUAGCGGCGGACGGGUGAGUAACACGUGGAUAACCUACCUAUAAGACUGGGAUAACUUCGGGAAACCGUAGCUAAUACCGGAUAAUAUUUUGAACCGCAUGGUUCAAAAGUGAAAGACGGUCUUGCUGUCACUUAUAGAUGGAUCCGCGCUGCAUUAGCUAGUUGGUAAGGUAACGGCUUACCAAGGCAACGAUGCAUAGCCGACCUGAGAGGGUGAUCGGCCAAACCGGAACUGAGAAACGGUCCCGACUCCUACGGGAGGCAGCAGUAGGGAAUCUUCCGCAAUGGGCGAAAGCCUGACGGAGCAACGCCGCGUGAGUGAUGAAGGUCUUCGGAUCGUAAAACUCUGUUAUUAGGGAAGAACAUAUGUGUAAGUAACUGUGCACAUCUUGACGGUACCUAAUCAGAAAGCCACGGCUAACUACGUG